rnacentral:rRNA from 1 species
UACAGAGGUCUCAAGCGUUUGUUCGGAUUCAUUGGGCGUAAAGGGCGCGUAGGCGGCCAUGCGUGUCUUCCGUGAAAUCCCUCGGCUUAACUGAGGACGUGCGGAAGAAACUGCAAGGCUCGAGUCCGGGAGAGGGGGGUGGAAUUCCCAGUGUAGCGGUGAAAUGCGUAGAUAUUGGGAGGAACACCGGUGGCGAAGGCGGCCCCCUGGACCGGUACUGACGCUGAGGCGCGAAAGCGGUGGGUAGCAAACGGG